GAACUAGAAGUCUGGUAGAAAAAGUAUUUGAAGAGCAAUGCGUAGGCAGUAGGUUUCGAUCAAUUAAAGAGCAAAGUUCUAAUUUCAUAUGUUAAAAGGAAAAAAAAAAUCAAAUAUUAUUACAAUUUACACAAAUCAAAAUAAUGAAAAGUAAGAAAAGAAAAAUGAGUAUAAAUUUUAGGUUCGAGGGCUUCACCUUCUUUUUCUAUCGUUCAGUUGCUACCAAAGAAUAGCUGACGAGCCCGUUUGUCUAGUGCUGUCUAGGGACCGACAAAAGUAAUCACUCCUCAAGAGACCAAAAUUUGGACUCAAAAGGUCCAUUUUAUUUCUUGAACGCGACUCAUAUACUUGGAGUUUGCACUUUUAUAAUAAAUUACUCAUCUAUGAUGUUAGAUCCAAUUUUUCAAUUUUAGUUAAUUAUCUCUCUCA
rnacentral:lncRNA from 1 species